UUAAAAGCCAAAUUCAAUUUCAAAACCGCCUUUUUGGUUUCAGUUUUUAUCUCCUCCUCAAAAAUGCCCUGCCUCACAGUUCACAGAGAGCCGGCCCUCACUCACUCACACUGCUCUCCUACCUGUGGCUGCCAUCGAUCUUCUGGGUCGCACUCUAGCCAGUCUCCGACCUCGCAACUCAGGCGACCUCCACCCUCUCUCGUGCUUUGCGCUCGCAGGUUCGUUGGUUCAGACUUCAUCGUUCUCUGCUAUCUCCUCCUCAAAGAGCUCUGCAAUUACGCUAAGAUAUGCUUUGCAGUUUCUUCAGCAUAGUUAGAUAUAUCUGCUAGAUCAAGCAUUGAUAUAUUUUUACUAUAUUGCAAUUAUUCAUCAUUUAUUGUAAUUUUGUUGAGAAAUUAAGCUCUGGUAGUCAAUAAUGUUAAACCAUGCAUAUAUACAUAUCAUUUUUUACCUUACAGAUUUUAAAAAUGGACCACUUUCAUUUCUUCUAAAAGUAUGUAUACAAUAAGACUUAUAUAUAUACAUGAAUAUAUGUGUAUAAAUUAGUAUAAUCUAUGAAAUCUGUACUAUCACGGAUUACAAAUUUUUAUCAUUAGCUAGCAUUAUAUUUUCUGAAUGCUUAAUUUUCAUGUAAUCAAUAGAUGAUUUGAAAUAAUAAGAUUUUAAAUCAAAUUGUAGUUUAAUUUUUUGGGUGAAUAUGCACGCAGAAUGAAAGUUCCAUACACACUAGAGGUUCUAUAUCUAUGAGUGAACAUGCACGCAAAAUGGUGGGACUAGUGUGCUCCAAAUUCCAACGCAGCCAUGACGGAAAUCACUCGGAAAGCUUGACUGCUUACGUGGCACAACAUGACAGCGCCCUAGUUGGUUGGUUCCAACAUCCAAACGGCUGACGUCACGAAUUACAUGCGGUUUUAUCUUGCCACGUGGCGGCAUCGUAUCUGACAUAGGAUGACGUCAUAUGUUGCUCCUCCGUCAACGCUUCGGCGUGUGUCACUUGCACUGCACCUCACUAAUGUUAUUGCCGUUGGGGUUAUGGCUCUCUUAUGAACACAAUUUUGUACUCUUCCUUUUAAUUCACCAACAAAGUUAGAUUUGUUAGUUAAAGUGCCAAAAUUAUAUGCAUCACAAAAAAUUGUUAGAUAGCAAUGUAGCAUAGGAGUUAUCUAUUGUCUGUCUCUACUUUUCAAUUUGAAAACGAUUUCCUUCUUAAAAUAAAAAAUUAAGAUUUACUUCUCAUCAAUAUUAUAACUUUUAUCAAUAUAUCAAAUAUGAACUUUAUUAUAUUAUUCAAAAAUAUA